GGAAUCCGAGAAAAAAAUAAUUAAUAGUUAUACCAGUGACGGAUUCAAGAAAAUUGGGAUCCGGCGGUUUGAAACUCUUUUUUUUUAACUUUCAAUGCAUUUGUAUGGGAACAUAUAUUUGGAAUCCUCUUUUCUCCUGGAUUGGACCCCCUCUCCAUUUAAAAAUGUCUGGAAACCCCAAUGUAUAUUAAGUGGUUUAUGAGGAGAUGCGCUUGCAAAACCGGCGAAACAUGUUGUACCGGUCCAACGGACGAACGGAAAGACGGACUUCAUUAUCACUAUAAACCAUCGCUUUACAAAGUGGUGUACAAUUGAGUGUGAAAGAGACAGAUCUACAUCCAAAACAAAGUGAAGGAACUGUGAUCAAUUAUAGGCUACAGUACGGCCUCGAAUGUUUGUAAAUUCAUGCAUUUUUAUAUAGUAACAAUUAAAUCUGUGUGUUUGUACAAUUUUAAGUAUAACGGAGGACAUUUCUGAAACUUCUAUAAACAAACAAACCUUCUUCUUAUUUCAGCCACAUUCAAACAUCCUUAUACUUAAUGUAGUAAGUCGAGUACACCCUAUCAAGCUAAAACAUGUUUGAAAAGUUUACAGGAUGUGAAUUUAUUAAAAUAUAUUUGUGUUAUUUAGAAAAAUGCCAUCUUCUAAUGUAUCGUAAAUAACUUUGAAAUCACUACUAGAAUACAGUGAAAUAAAGACUGAUCAUACAGUUUCAAAAUAUACAAGCGAGACUGAUCGUACAGUGAGAAAUUCAAACAAGUGUAAUUUUCUUAUUUCUGGCUUCAAAGAUCUGGCUGAAACUUUUACCACCACUUAAAAUAUACUUUAUUUAGUAAAUUAAGUCUGGAUUUUACGUUAAUUUGUACAGUAAGAGUGCAAAAAGAUUGUUUUUAGGUUCACCGACUGAUUUUCCUUAGUGAUGCACUUGAAAAUCUCUUAAUUAAGGCAAAGAUACGAAUAAUGAAUGUGCUAAAUUUAAUUAUAAACCAUUUGUGAGUAUCGAUGUCAGCUGAAUUAAUCAUUAAGCAAUGUACAGAUGAACAUCUUACCGUUUAAUAUAGUAUAUCCGACAAAUUUAAAAUGUGAUCCAAAAAGUUCUCGCUUCGAAAAUCGCGACUUCCGGAAAGCGUACA
rnacentral:lncRNA from 1 species